AUUGAACGCUGGCGGCAGGCCUAACACAUGCAAGUCGAGCGGAUGAAGGGAGCUUGCUCCUGGAUUCAGCGGCGGACGGGUGAGUAAUGCCUAGGAAUCUGCCUGGUAGUGGGGGAUAACGUCCGGAAACGGGCGCUAAUACCGCAUACGUCCUGAGGGAGAAAGUGGGGGAUCUUCGGACCUCACGCUAUCAGAUGAGCCUAGGUCGGAUUAGCUAGUUGGUGGGGUAAAGGCCUACCAAGGCGACGAUCCGUAACUGGUCUGAGAGGAUGAUCAGUCACACUGGAACUGAGACACGGUCCAGACUCCUACGGGAGGCAGCAGUGGGGAAUAUUGGACAAUGGGCGAAAGCCUGAUCCAGCCAUGCCGCGUGUGUGAAGAAGGUCUUCGGAUUGUAAAGCACUUUAAGUUGGGAGGAAGGGCAGUAAGUUAAUACCUUGCUGUUUUGACGUUACCAACAGAAUAAGCACCGGCUAACUUCGUGCCAGCAGCCGCGGUAAUACGAAGGGUGCAAGCGUUAAUCGGAAUUACUGGGCGUAAAGCGCGCGUAGGUGGUUCAGCAAGUUGGAUGUGAAAUCCCCGGGCUCAACCUGGGAACUGCAUCCAAAACUACUGAGCUAGAGUACGGUAGAGGGUGGUGGAAUUUCCUGUGUAGCGGUGAAAUGCGUAGAUAUAGGAAGGAACACCAGUGGCGAAGGCGACCACCUGGACUGAUACUGACACUGAGGUGCGAAAGCGUGGGGAGCAAACAGGAUUAGGUACCCUGGUAGUCCACGCCGUAAACGAUGUCGACUAGCCGUUGGGAUCCUUGAGAUCUUAGUGGCGCAGCUAACGCGAUAAGUCG
rnacentral:rRNA from 1 species